rnacentral:rRNA from 1 species
ACUCCUACGGGAGGCAGCAGUGGGAAUAUUGCACAAUGGGCGCAAGCCUGAUGCAGCCAUGCCGCGUGUGUGAAGAAGGCCUUCGGGUUGUAAAGCACUUUCAGUAGGGAGGAAGGUAGUGUAGUUAACACCUGCAUUAUUUGACGUUACCUACAGAAGAAGCACCGGCUAACUCCGUGCCAGCAGCCGCGGUAAUACGGAGGGUGCGAGCGUUAAUCGGAAUUACUGGGCGUAAAGCGCAUGCAGGCGGCCUGUUAAGUCAGAUGUGAAAGCCCGGGCUUAACCUCGGAAUUGCAUUUGAAACUGGCAGGCUAGAGUCUUGUAGAGGGGGUA